rnacentral:piRNA from 1 species
GAGGAGCCGGGCAACGCGGGACGC